rnacentral:tRNA from 6 species
GGCGGACGUAGCCAAGUGGAUUAAGGCAGUGGAU